UACAGAGGUCUCAAGCGUUGUUCGGAUUCAUUGGGCGUAAAGGGUGUGUAGGUGGCGCGCUAAGUCGGGUGUGAAAUUUCGGAGCUUAACUCCGAAACUGCAUUCGAUACUGGCGUGCUUGAGGACUGGAGAGGAGACUGGAAUUCAUGGUGUAGCAGUGAAAUGCGUAGAGAUCAUGAGGAAGACCAGUGGCGAAGGCGGGUCUCUGGGCCGAUACUGACGCUGAGGUGCGAAAGCGUGGGGAGCAAACAGG
rnacentral:rRNA from 1 species